rnacentral:rRNA from 1 species
GACGAACGCUGGCGGCGUGCUUAACACAUGCAAGUCGAACGGAAAGGCCCUGCUUUUGUGGGGUGCUCGAGUGGCGAACGGGUGAGUAACACGUGAGUAACCUGCCCUUGACUUUGGGAUAACUUCAGGAAACUGGGGCUAAUACCGGAUAGGAGCUCCUGCUGCAUGGUGGGGGUUGGAAAGUUUCGGCGGUUGGGGAUGGACUCGCGGCUUAUCAGCUUGUUGGUGGGGUAGUGGCUUACCAAGGCUUUGACGGGUAGCCGGCCUGAGAGGGUGACCGGCCACAUUGGGACUGAGAUACGGCCCAGACUCCUACGGGAGGCAGCAGUGGGGAAUAUUGCACAAUGGGCGGAAGCCUGAUGCGGCAACGCCGCGUGCGGGAUGACGGCCUUCGGGUUGUAAACCGCUUUCGCCUGUGACGAAGCGUGAGUGACGGUAAUGGGUAAAGAAGCACCGGCUAACUACGUGCCAGCAGCCGCGGUGAUACGUAGGGUGCGAGCGUUGUCCGGAUUUAUUGGGCGUAAAGGGCUCGUAGGUGGUUGAUCGCGUCGGAAGUGUAAUCUUGGGGCUUAACCCUGAGCGUGCUUUCGAUACGGGUUGACUUGAGGAAGGUAGGGGAGAAUGGAAUUCCUGGUGGAGCGGUGGAAUGCGCAGAUAUCAGGAGGAACACCAGUGGCGAAGGCGGUUCUCUGGGCCUUUCCUGACGCUGAGGAGCGAAAGCGUGGGGAGCGAACAGGCUUAGAUACCCUGGUAGUCCACGCUGUAAACGGUGGGUACUAGGUGUGGGGUCCAUUCCACGGGUUCCGUGCCGUAGCUAACGCUUUAAGUACCCCGCCUGGGGAGUACGGCCGCAAGGCUAAAACUCAAAGGAAUUGACGGGGCCCCGCACAAGCGGCGGAGCAUGCGGAUUAAUUCGAUGCAACGCGUAGAACCUUACCUGGGUUUGACAUGGAUCGGGAGUGCUCAGAGAUGGGUGUGCCUCUUUUGGGGUCGGUUCACAGGUGGUGCAUGCCUGUCGUCAGCUCGUGUCGUGAGAUGUUGGGUUAAGUCCCGCAACGAGCGCAACCCUUGUUCACUGUUGCCAGCACGUUAUGGUGGGGACUCAGUGGAGACCGCCGGGGUCAACUCGGAGGAAGGUGGGGAUGACGUCAAGUCCUCAUGCCCCUUAUGUCCAGGGCUUCACGCAUGCUACAAUGGCUGGUACAGAGAGUGGCGAGCCUGUGAGGGUGAGCGAAUCUCGGAAAGCCGGUCUCAGUUCGGAUUGGGGUCUGCAACUCGACCUCAUGAAGUCGGAGUUGCUAGUAAUCGCAGAUCAGCAACGCUGCGGUGAAUACGUUCCCGGG